GUCAGCACCCCGCUCUAAAGAGACGGGGCAUCAUGCUUCUCUUUUUAGGUAGCUGACCAGCCUAAGUCCCUUGAGGACUACGUUAUCGGUGAGAGUUAACGUUCCUACCCUGAGAUGCUUGCCAGUCGAAGGCUCAUGAACCACAGCAUUAAACAGUCCUACGAGGGGUAAGACAGUGUGUUGUGGAAAGUACCGACCGAUAACAUUGGCGAGGCAAACAUUACCCCAGAAAUGGG
rnacentral:sRNA from 1 species